rnacentral:rRNA from 1 species
UACGUAGGGGACAAGCGUUGUCCGGAUUUACUGGGCGUAAAGAGCGCGUAGGCGGUCGAUCAAGUCGGGUGUGAAAGCCCCCGGCUCAACUGGGGAGGGUCAUUCGAUACUGAUCGACUCGAAGGCAGGAGAGGGUAGUGGAAUUCCCGGUGUAGUGGUGAAAUGCGUAGAUAUCGGGAGGAAUACCAGUGGCGAAGGCGGCCUUCUGGACUGACACUGACGCUGAGGCGCGAAAGCCAGGGGAGCAAACGGG